UACGGAGGGUGCGAGCGUUGUUCGGAAUCACUGGGCGUAAAGCGCGUGUAGGCGGCCUCUUAAGUCCGAUGUGAAAGCCCGGGGCUCACCCCCGGAAGUGCAUUGGAUACUGGGAGGCUGGAGUACCGGAGAGGAGGGUGGAAUUCCUGGUGUAGCGGUGAAAUGCGUAGAUAUCAGGAGGAACACCUGUGGCGAAGGCGGCCCUCUGGACGGAUACUGACGCUGAGACGCGAAAGCGUGGGGAGCAAACAGG
rnacentral:rRNA from 1 species